rnacentral:rRNA from 1 species
GACGGACCACCCGAACGUUAUUCGGAAUCACUGGGCGUAAAGGGUGCGUAGGCGGGUCUUUAAGUCAGGGGUGAAAUCCUGGAGCUCAACUCCAGAACUGCCUUUGGUACAGCACGUCUUGAGUCCGAUAGAGGUGGGUGGAAUUCCUAGUGUAGAGGUGAAAUUCGUAGAUAUUAGGAAGAACACCGGUGGCGAAGGCGGUUCUCUGGGAAUGUUCUGACGCUGAGGAGCGAAAGUGUGGGGAGCGAACAGG